CAAAUUAGAGCUUGUUAAGAGUAUUUUAUUUACACUAAAAUGGAGAUUGUUAAUUCAAUUUAAUUUGA
rnacentral:tRNA from 1 species